AGCCGAGCCGCGUCUCCCUGUUGCAAGCCGAGCCGCACGCGAAAUCCCUGUACCGAGCCGAGCCGCGUCUGCCCAAGCCGAGCCGGUCCUGUCUUCUUCCAGCCGAGCCGCCAGGACUAAAUUGGCUCCAUCCACCUAUAUUUCGGUAAGCUAAUUAAUUAUUGUGGUCUUUCCGGUAAGACUCCAUGCUCGGACGUUAGUUAAAUUAAUUUGGGUCUAAAUUAAAUUAUUUUCCUCAAGGGACGUCUUGGACCAAGAAAUUACUGCAGCGCGGGAUUUCUUCAGUAGGGGCUCGAGCACUGCAACCUCCUUCUAGGUUAGGACUUCGUCGCUUGGAAAGCGUACUGCCUCGCGGUUAGGACUCGACAAGUAGAUCUCCAGGUAGAGGACGAGGCAAAGGCAAGGGCAAGCUGGCGAGCGACCCGAAGUGAGACCGAGGAGGGCCAUAGGGACUACCGCUUCCGCUUAUUUCUUAUUUCAGAUUUUAGCAUUUGAGUUUGAGUACUUUUUAUUUUUCACUAUCUUUUAUGUAGAUAGGGCCCGAGUAGGAUUUCAGAACGUUUUUACAUUUUUGCAUGACUACCUUGUUUAUGUUUUUAUAAAUGAAUUUCUUGAACCGUAUGCUUUUAA